AUACUUACCUGGACGGGGUCGACGGCCGAUCAAGAAGGACCGUGGCCUAGGCUAGUGGUCCACAUUGCACUUGGUGGAUGUGCUGGCUUACCAUCUCCCCAAGCGGGAGAGUGGACGUCAUAAUUUGUGGUAGAGGGGGUACGCGUUCGCGCGGCCCCUGC
rnacentral:snRNA from 1 species